rnacentral:rRNA from 1 species
GUGGGGAAUAUUGGACAAUGGGCGCAAGCCUGAUCCAGCCAUGCCGCGUGGAUGAUGAAGGCCUUAGGGUUGUAAAGUCCUUUUAACGGGGAAGAUAAUGACGGUACCCGUAGAAUAAGCCCCGGCUAACUUCGUGCCAGCAGCCGCGGUAAUACGAAGGGGGCUAGCGUUGCUCGGAAUUACUGGGCGUAAAGCGCACGUAGGCGGCUUAUUAAGUCGGGGGUGAAAUCCUGGAGCUCAACUCCAGAACUGCCUUCGAUACUGAUGAGCUUGAGUUCGGGAGAGGUGAGUGGAACUGCGAGUGUAGAGGUGAAAUUCGUAGAUAUUCGCAAGAACACCAGUGGCGAAGGCGGCUCACUGGCCCGAUACUGACGCUGAGGUGCGAAAGCGUGGGGAGCAAACAGG